AGUUUGAUCCUGGCUCAGAACGAACGCUGGCGGCACGCCUCAUACAUGCAAGUCGAGCGCGAAACCACCUUCGGGUGAUGUAGAGCGGCGAACGGGUGAGUAACAGGUGGAUAAUCUGCCCUUUGGCGGGGGACAACAGCUGGAAACGGCUGCUAAUACCGCAUGUGAUUGUGGGCUUAUGGCCUGCAAGGAAAGGCGCCUCAAAGCGCCACCAAAGGAUGAGUCCGCCCCCCAUUAGCUAGUUGGUGAGAUAACAGCUCACCAAGGCUUCGAUGGGUAGCCGAGCUGAGAGGUUGAUCGGCCACACUGGAACUGAGACACGGUCCAGACACCUACGGGUGGCAGCAGUAGGGAAUAUUGCGCAAUGGGCGAAAGCCUGACGCAGCGAUGCCGCGUGAGUGACGAAGGUCUUAGGAUUGUAAAGCUCUUUUCUGAGGGAAGAAUAGGUCUGCGAGGAAAUGCGCGGAUCCUGACGGUACCUCAGGAAUAAGGAACGGCUAACUCCGUGCCAGCAGCCGCGGUAA
rnacentral:rRNA from 1 species